GACGAACGCUGGCGGCGUGCUUAACGCAUGCAAGUCGAACGGAAAGGCCCUGUACUUGUGGGGUGCUCGAGUGGCGAACGGGUGAGUAACACGUGAGUAACCUGCCCUUGACUUUGGGAUAACUUCAGGAAAAUGGGGCUAAUAUCGGAUAUGAGCUCUUGCUGCACGGUGUGGGUUGGAAAGUUUCGGCGGUUUGGGAUGGAAUCGCGGCUUAGCAGCUUGUUGGUGGGGUAGUGGCUUACCAAGGCUUUGACGGGUAGCCGGCCUGAGAGGGUGACCGGGCACAAUGGGACUGGGGAGCGAGCCAGACGGCUACGGGAGGCAGCGGUGGAGAACAUUGCGCAAUAGGCGGAAGCCUGGUGGAACGACGCCGGGUGCGAGAUAACGGCCUUCGGGGUGUAAACCGCUUUCGCCUGUGACGAAGAGUGAGUGACGGUAAUUGGUAAAGAAGCACCGGCUAACUACGUG
rnacentral:rRNA from 1 species